rnacentral:tRNA from 1 species
GACUCGUUAGCUCAGUAGGUUAGAGCGCCGAUAUACAGAAUUCACUUGACCAUCGGAGGGCGGAGGUUCAAAUCCUUCACGAGUCA